AUACGGAGGGUGCAAGCGUUGUUCGGAAUCACUGGGCGUAAAGGGCGCGCAGGCGGUUUUACAAGUCAGAUGUGAAAGCCCACGGCUCAACCGUGGAAGUGCAUUUGAAACUGUAAGACCUGAGUAUCAGAGGGGAAGGUGGAAUUCCCGGUGUAGAGGUGAAAUUCGUAGAUAUCGGGAGGAAUACCGGUGGCGAAGGCGACUUUCUGGCUGAAUACUGACGCUGAGGCGCGAAAGCGUGGGGAGCAAACAGGAUUAGAAACCCUUGUAGUCC
rnacentral:rRNA from 1 species